AUGUCAAACUUCUCUAACUUUGACCAAACUUAUAGAAAAAUACACCAACAAUAACAUCAGCUAGUUUGAUUAAUUCUCCAUAAAAUAUGUCUUAUUAGUGCAUUUAUUUGAAUUUGUAGAAGUUGACAUAUUUUUCUAAAAACUUGGUCAAAGUUAGAGAAGUUUGACUUAG
rnacentral:pre_miRNA from 1 species